rnacentral:rRNA from 1 species
UGAGGAAUUUUGCGCAAUGGGGGAAACCCUGACGCAGCAACGCCGCGUGAGCGAAGAAGGCCUUCGGGUCGUAAAGCUCUGUCAAGUGGGAAAAAAGCCUUUCGGUUAAUAACCGGAAGGUCUGAUGGUACCACUGGAGGAAGCACCGGCUAACUCCGUGCCAGCAGCCGCGGUAAUACGGAGGGUGCAAGCGUUGUUCGGAAUUACUGGGCGUAAAGCGCGUGCAGGCGGUUUGGUAAGUCAGAUGUGAAAGCCCUGGGCUCAACCCGGGAAUUGCAUUUGAAACUGCCUUUCUUGAGUAUGGGAGAGGAAAGUGGAAUUCCCGGUGUAGAGGUGAAAUUCGUAGAUAUCGGGAGGAAUACCGGUGGCGAAGGCGACUUUCUGGCUGAAUACUGACGCUGAGGCGCGAAAGCGUGGGGAGCAAACAGGAUUAGAUACCCUGGUAGUCCACGCCGUAAACGAUGUCAACUAGGUGCAGGGGGUGUUGAUCCCCUCUGUGUCGCAGCUAACGCAUUAAGUUGACCGCCUGGGGAGUACGGUCGCAAGAUUAAAACUCAAAUGAAUUGACGGAA